GGAGCGGGCAGGAGGAUGAAGGAAGGAUCAGCCUUCCACCAGGCCUCGGGGCCUCCCAGCAAUGAAUGUUUCCCUCUUCCGUGGAGCCACCAUCCCAUCCAUUGCUGGCGAUUUUAAAAGAGAAGCAAGAAGAUGGAGGAGAUGAUACUUCCCUGAGACGGGGACCCAGCAUUCUGGGUAUCACGACUGAGUUGGGGCAGGACUCAACCCUCCCUGGCAGCUUCAUCCCACCCGGCGGAGAGGCUGAAGCUUCAAGAUUCCAGGCAACAGCAGACUCAUGAGCUCGAAGGGCCGUGGUGAAUGGCUGGCACCUCGGUGGAGCCUGACUCCGGUCCAAAUCCUGGGCACCCCACCGACUAGCUGUGUGACUUCAGACAAGCUGCUUAAUCUCUCUGUGCCUCCAGUUUUCUCGUCUUUCAGAUGGAGAUAAAAAGAGGAGUUACUGGAGGGUGGUUGCGAGGCUUACGUGGGCACCUCCAUGUCAAACAUAGCUCCUCACACAUUCGAAAGCAGCAAAGAAACUGAUUCUGUGAUCACAUCUCCAUGUCCAGAGAUGGAAGGAUGUGCCUGCGUGUUGGGGAGAAGGGAGGC
ensembl:lncRNA